rnacentral:rRNA from 1 species
GUGGGGAAUAUUGCGCAAUGGGGGAAACCCUGACGCAGCAACGCCGCGUGAAGGAUGAAGGUUUUCGGAUUGUAAACUUCUUUGACGAGGGACGAAUAAUGACGGUACCUCGAAAACAAGCCACUGCUAACUACAUGCCAGCAGCCGCGGUACUACGUAGGUGGCGAGCGUUGUCCGGAAUUACUGGGUGUAAAGGGCGAGUAGGCGGGUUCAUAAUUCAGUAGGGAAAUACUGCAGCUUAACUGCGGGGCUGCUAUUGAAACUAUGGUUCUUGAGUGAUAGGGAGGCAGGCGGAAUUCCCGGUGUAGCGGUGAAAUGCGUAGAGAUCGGGAGGAACACCAGUGGCGAAGGCGGCCUGCUGGAUAUUAACUGACGCUGAGGCGCGAAAGCGUGGGGAGCAAACAGGAUUAGAUACCCGAGUAGUCC